GGGUUGUGAGGUUAAGCGACUAAGCGUACACGGUGGAUGCCCUGGCAGUCAGAGGCGAUGAAGGGCGUGCUAAUCUGCGAUAAGCGCCGGUAAGGUGAUAUGAACCGUUAUAACCGGCGAUACCCGAAUGGGGAAACCCAGUGUGAUUCGUCACACUAUCAUUAACUGAAUCCAUAGGUUAAUGAGGCGAACCGGGGGAACUGAAACAUCUAAGUACCCCGAGGAAAAGAAAUCAACCGAGAUUCCCCCAGUAGCGGCGAGCGAACGGGGAGGAGCCCAGAGCCUGAAUCAGCAUGUGUGUUAGUGGAAGCGUCUGGAAAGGCGCGCGAUACAGGGUGACAGCCCCGUACACAAAAGCGCAUGUGCUGUGAGCUCGAUGAGUAGGGCGGGACACGUGGUAUCCUGUCUGAAUAUGGGGGGACCAUCCUCCAAGGCUAAAUACUCCUGACUGACCGAUAGUGAACCAGUACCGUGAGGGAAAGGCGAAAAGAACCCCGGCGAGGGGAGUGAAAAAGAACCUGAAACCGUGUACGUACAAGCAGUGGGAGCACCCUUCGGGGUGUGACUGCGUACCUUUUGUAUAAUGGGUCAGCGACUUAUAUUCUGUAGCAAGGUUAACCGUAUAGGGGAGCCGGAGGGAAACCGAGUCUUAAUUGGGCGUUAAGUUGCAGGGUAUAGACCCGAAACCCGGUGAUCUAGCCAUGGGCAGGUUGAAGGUUGGGUAACACUAACUGGAGGACCGAACCGACUAAUGUUGAAAAAUUAGCGGAUGACCUGUGGCUGGGGGUGAAAGGCCAAUCAAACCGGGAGAUAGCUGGUUCUCCCCGAAAGCUAUUUAGGUAGCGCCUCGUGAAUUCAUCUCCGGGGGUAGAGCACUGUUUCGGCUAGGGGGCCAUCCCGGCUUACCAACCCGAUGCAAACUGCGAAUACCGGAGAAUGUUAUCACGGGAGACACACGGCGGGUGCUAACGUCCGUCGUGAAGAGGGAAACAACCCAGACCGCCAGCUAAGGUCCCAAAGUCAUGGUUAAGUGGGAAACGAUGUGGGAAGGCCCAGACAGCCAGGAUGUUGGCUUAGAAGCAGCCAUCAUUUAAAGAAAGCGUAAUAGCUCACUGGUCGAGUCGGCCUGCGCGGAAGAUGUAACGGGGCUAAACCAUGCACCGAAGCUGCGGCAGCGAACGUAUCACCCAAGACAACUUUACGGAGUUGACGAUUGACGGAGCGAAGCGACGUCAAAGCGUUCAUUAAAGUCGAGUUGGCUUAGGGAUACGUUCGUUGGGUAGGGGAGCGUUCUGUAAGCCUGUGAAGGUGUGUCGUGAGGCAUGCUGGAGGUAUCAGAAGUGCGAAUGCUGACAUAAGUAACGAUAAAGCGGGUGAAAAGCCCGCUCGCCGGAAGACCAAGGGUUCCUGUCCAACGUUAAUCGGGGCAGGGUGAGUCGACCCCUAAGGCGAGGCCGAAAGGCGUAGUCGAUGGGAAACGGGUUAAUAUUCCCGUACUUGGUGUUACUGCGAAGGGGGACGGAGAAGGCUAUGUUGGCCGGGCGACGGUUGUCCCGGUUUAAGCGUGUAGGUGUGUGUUCCAGGUAAAUCCGGUUCACUUUAACACUGAGGCGUGACGACGAGGCACUACGGUGCUGAAGCAACAAAUGCCCUGCUUCCAGGAAAAGCCUCUAAGCAUCAGGUAACAUCAAAUCGUACCCCAAACCGACACAGGUGGUCAGGUAGAGAAUACCAAGGCGCUUGAGAGAACUCGGGUGAAGGAACUAGGCAAAAUGGUGCCGUAACUUCGGGAGAAGGCACGCUGACACGUAGGUGAAGUGAUUUACUCAUGGAGCUGAAGUCAGUCGAAGAUACCAGCUGGCUGCAACUGUUUAUUAAAAACACAGCACUGUGCAAACACGAAAGUGGACGUAUACGGUGUGACGCCUGCCCGGUGCCGGAAGGUUAAUUGAUGGGGUCAGCGCAAGCGAAGCUCCUGAUCGAAGCCCCGGUAAACGGCGGCCGUAACUAUAACGGUCCUAAGGUAGCGAAAUUCCUUGUCGGGUAAGUUCCGACCUGCACGAAUGGCGUAAUGAUGGCCAGGCUGUCUCCACCCGAGACUCAGUGAAAUUGAACUCGCUGUGAAGAUGCAGUGUACCCGCGGCAAGACGGAAAGACCCCGUGAACCUUUACUAUAGCUUGACACUGAACAUUGAGCCUUGAUGUGUAGGAUAGGUGGGAGGCUUUGAAGUGUGGACGCCAGUCUGCAUGGAGCCGACCUUGAAAUACCACCCUUUAAUGUUUGAUGUUCUAACGUGGACCCGUUACCCGGGUUGCGGACAGUGUCUGGUGGGUAGUUUGACUGGGGCGGUCUCCUCCUAAAGAGUAACGGAGGAGCACGAAGGUUGGCUAAUCCUGGUCGGACAUCAGGAGGUUAGUGCAAUGGCAUAAGCCAGCUUGACUGCGAGCGUGACGGCGCGAGCAGGUGCGAAAGCAGGUCAUAGUGAUCCGGUGGUUCUGAAUGGAAGGGCCAUCGCUCAACGGAUAAAAGGUACUCCGGGGAUAACAGGCUGAUACCGCCCAAGAGUUCAUAUCGACGGCGGUGUUUGGCACCUCGAUGUCGGCUCAUCACAUCCUGGGGCUGAAGUAGGUCCCAAGGGUAUGGCUGUUCGCCAUUUAAAGUGGUACGCGAGCUGGGUUUAGAACGUCGUGAGACAGUUCGGUCCCUAUCUGCCGUGGGCGCUGGAGAACUGAGGGGGGCUGCUCCUAGUACGAGAGGACCGGAGUGGACGCAUCACUGGUGUUCGGGUUGUCAUGCCAAUGGCACUGCCCGGUAGCUAAAUGCGGAAGAGAUAAGUGCUGAAAGCAUCUAAGCACGAAACUUGCCCCGAGAUGAGUUCUCCCUGAGACUUAGAGUCUCCUGAAGGAACGUUGAAGACGACGACGUUGAUAGGCCGGGUGUGUAAGCGCAGCGAUGCGUUGAGCUAACCGGUACUAAUGAACCGUGAGGCUUAACCUUACAACGCCGAAG
rnacentral:rRNA from 2 species